rnacentral:tRNA from 1 species
CAGGGAGACAACAAAAUGUUUAAUAUUAUUAUUUUGUCACCUUAGGUCGAUCGGUAUCUCACGUUUUUAAUUUAUUAAGAAUUUCAUUUCCUAAGUUUUUCUAGGUCACACCCAUUAUUUUUCCUGGGCCAUUAGCUCAGGUGGUUAGAGCGCACCCCUGAUAAGGGUGAGGUCCCUGGUUCAAGUCCAGGAUGGCCCAUAUCUCUAUGUUGGGGGUAUAGCUCAGUUGGUAGAGCGCCUGCUUUGCAAGCAGGAUGUCAGCGGUUCGAGUCCGCUUACCUCCACUGAUUACCACCUCUUCCAUAAUUGGUAGAAAGGAAAUGUUUUGAUUAGUGAUCAAAUCUGAAAGAAUCUAGCUUCCUAAUGAAAUCAUUAAGAUGCUGGACUCAUUGAAUUAAUUUCAUUGUUUUCAGAGAACCUUGACAACUGCAUAGAUUAUUUUUAAAGACAAUAAGCAUCUUUAAUGAUGCAGAUUUAUUAUUUGUGCGAAUGCAUUAAUAACAAUUCUAUUAAGCUGAUGCUUCAAUUUUUGAAGUUAUU